UACGGAGGGUGCGAGCGUUAUCCGGAUUUACUGGGCGUAAAGCGGGUGCAGACGGUUUUUCAAGUCGGGCGUAAAAUCUCCCAGCUUAACUGGGAGCGACCGUUCGAUACUGUGAGGCUUGAGGACAGCAGGGGGAGGUAGAAUUCUCGGUGUAGUGGUGGAAUGCGUAGAUAUCGAGAGGAAUACCAGUGGCGAAGGCGGCCUUCUGGACUGACACUGACACUGAGGUGCGAAAGCGUGGGUAGCAAACAGG
rnacentral:rRNA from 1 species